AGUGAACGCUGGCGGUAGGCCUAACACAUGCAAGUCGAACGGCAGCACAGUAAGAGCUUGCUCUUACGGGUGGCGAGUGGCGGACGGGUGAGGAAUACAUCGGAAUCUACUUUUUCGUGGGGGAUAACGUAGGGAAACUUACGCUAAUACCGCAUACGCCCUACGGGUGAAAGCAGGGGAUCUUUGGACCUUGCGGGAUUGAAUGAGCCGAUGUCGGAGUAGAUAGUUGGGGGGUUAAAGGCCCACCAAGUCGACGGUACGUAGCCUGUGUGAGAGGAUGAUCAGCCACACUGGAACUGAGACACGGUCCAGACGCCUACGGGACGCAGCAGUGGGGAAUAGUGGACAAUGGGCGCAAGCCUGAUCCAGCCAUACCGCGUGGGUGAAGAAGGCCUUCGGGUUGUAAAGCCCUUUUGUUGGGAAAGAAAAGCAGCAGGUUAAUACCCCGCUGUUCUGACGGUACCCAAAGAAUAAGCACCGGCUAACUUCGUG
rnacentral:rRNA from 1 species